rnacentral:rRNA from 1 species
CACGUAGGUGGUUUGGUAAGUCGGAUGUGAAAGCCCCGGGCUUAACCUGGGAAUUGCAUUCGAAACUGCCUCACUAGAGUCUAGCAGAGGGAUGCGGAAUUCCGGGUGUAGCGGUGAAAUGCGUAGAGAUCCGGAGGAACAUCAGUGGCGAAGGCGGCAUCCUGGGCUAAGACUGACACUGAGGUGCGAAAGCGUGGGAAGCAAACA